UGCAGGAGACGGUGUGUGAGAGCAGCUGCUUACAUAUGGAGACCUGAGCCGAAAUUCACCAGUACUCGGAAUGUUUACUUGGAGUGCGCUUGGAUUUAUCUGGGGACAUUUGCCUGAAAUGAAACUCAUUUAUAUAAGAAAUGGAGAGGAAUGGAAACUAUACUAUGAGAAUGAAAAUAUGCCAGUGUUCAGCACAUGUGAAACAUUAAAAAAUAAGUUUGAAUGAUGGCCGAGUGGCUUCCAUGGAGGAAUGGCCCCUGUUGGAGCCGUUAUCUGUGGCAUUUUUCUGGCAGAGCGAUGGGCUGGAGCCUGGAAGGUACAGCUGAGUCAUUUGGCAGAGACUGGCGAGCCAGUUGGUCAGGGAAGUUAUGAGGACAACACUAGAUUUGUGACCACCUUACAGCUCCGUCUCCCCCCAGGAAGCACAGCCAGCGGGCCAGGAAUGAAUUUCAAGGCAAAAAUCAUUACCAGCUAAUA